rnacentral:rRNA from 1 species
GGUUACUGCUAUCGGUGUUCGCCUAAGCCAUGCGAGUCAUAUGUUCGUAAGAACAUGGCGUACUGCUCAGUAACACGUGGAUAACCUGCCCUUGGGUCCGGCAUAACCCCGGGAAACUGGGGAUAAUUCCGGAUAACGCACGUAUGCUGGAAUGCUUUAUGCGUAAAAUGGAUUCGUCUGCCCAAGGAUGGGUCUGCGGCCUAUCAGGUAGUAGUGGGUGUAAUGUACCUACUAGCCUACGACGGGUACGGGUUGCGAGAGCAAGAGCCCGGAGAUGGAUUCUGAGACAUGAAUCCAGGCCCUACGGGGCGCAGCAGGCGCGAAAACUUUACAAUGCGGGAAACCGUGAUAAGGGGACACCGAGUGCCAGCAUCCUAUGCUGGCUGUCCGGGUGUGUAAAAUACACCUGUUAGCAAGGGCCGGGCAAGACCGGUGCCAGCCGCCGCGGUAACACCGGCGGCCCGAGUGGUGAUCGUGAUUAUUGGGUCUAAAGGGUCCGUAGCCGGUUUGGUCAGUCCUCCGGGAAAUCUGACAGCUUAACUGUUAGGCUUUCGGAGGAUACUGCCAGACUUGGAACCGGGAGAGGUAAGAGGUACUACAGGGGUAGGAGUGAAAUCUUGUAAUCCCUGUGGGACCACCUGUGGCGAAGGCGUCUUACCAGAACGGGUUCGACGGUGAGGGACGAAAGCUGGGGGCACGAACCGGAUUAGAUACCCGGGUAGUCCCAGCCGUAAACGAUGCUCGCUAGGUGUCACGCAUGGCGCGACCGUGUCUGGUGCCGCAGGGAAGCCGUGAAGCGAGCCACCUGGGAAGUACGGCCGCAAGGCUGAAACUUAA